CCGGGCGAUUAUAUCGUAGGGGAAACACCUCUUCCCAUUCCGAACAGAGAAGUUAAGCCCUACAGAGCUGAUGGUACUGCCCUGGCAACGGGGUGGGAGAGUAAGACAUCGCCGGAA
rnacentral:rRNA from 2 species